GCGCGCGUCGCCAAGCGGCUAAGGCACCGGAUUGCAAAUCCGGCAUCGUGAGUUCGAAUCUCGCCGCGCGCUCCA
rnacentral:tRNA from 1 species